rnacentral:lncRNA from 1 species
ACAUACGUAGCAUAGCAAUCAAGGGCUAAUGAAGAUCCAGGUAUUAAAUCAAUUAAGAAGUAUCAAAAGCCACGUAAUCAUCAAGGAACAAAAUUGGCACCACAAUAUGUAGCGAGUAUGGGAAAGCCUAAUUUACUAAACAUACCCUGCAGUCACAUAAUUGCAUGUAAUUUUACCAGCAUAAUUAACUAAUUUAAUUACCACUUCUCAAGUGCAUCAAUUAUUGACAUUACAGAGUUUUCAGACAGCAGAAUUACUGUGUGGUGCCAUCCAGAGAAUGCGAAAUGCUGUGUGUGCCUGCUCUUUCUCUCCUACUCAACUACUGAAGAAGCGCACGUGAACUUGGAGGUGGGAAGAAAUUCCAGUCGUGGGUUGCUCAGUUGGUGGGCAGAUUUCAAGGAUGGAGAACCCGCACUGCGUGUCUGGCUGGAGGCAGAGAGGAGAGGAAGCUCCCAGAGACCCUGUGCCUCAACACGGUGUGGGAAAAGGUAGGUGAAGCACGGCCAGGAAAAGAAAGAACAGCUGAAAAGGGUGAGAUGGGAAGGAGAGAACCAACUCCCGGAAGUGGGCUGCUUGCCUCCAAGCGCAUGCUCACAUUCGUACCCGUCCAGAAAAAUAAGUGUGAAUAAACAUUUGAUGGAAGGGCAGAAGAAUACUUUUGAGAGUCGGAUUUUCUGUUUGACGUUUGUAGUUAUGCAAAGAAAAUGUCGCUGGGGCAUUUUAGUAUAAGGGGCCAUCCUACCAAAGGAUUGGAGCCUCAGUGAUUGGAGGGUCUACUUCUAGAAGGAUUCCCAUUCCCAGGCUUUUCAAAAUGGCAUCAUUAGUGGAGACAUCUCAUCAUGUUCUAAAAUCUAUGAAGAGAAAGGACUGAAAUCCUAGGAGCUCUUGUGUGGCUUUGUGUCUCUGUUGAGGUGAUGCCCCGCUGGUGGCCUUUGGCCUGUGCCUCACCCACCACCCUGUAUUGUGUAUUGGAGGGAGUUGGGGGAGGGUGACUGUGGCGAGGGUGAAUCAUGACAUGGUGAGCAUACACGGAGGGGGAUUUUAAUGAGACAGCAUAGCGCUGAAAUAAUGUAUAUGCUAUUGACAUGUCUGUCUUACAUUAGAUACCUUUUUCUUUGAAUUAAAAGUAAUAUGAUGCAGUCUAUUAUCACUCUUAAAAGAAAAGGCAAACUUUCAUACGUAGGAAUUUAUUCAUUAGAUUAUCAUGUGUGUGAGAAAGAAUGUCUGUAUAUGUGCCUCGUGUGGGUGCAUUUGGGUGUGUCUAUGUGUGUGUAGACAUGUGGAUUUGUGUGCAAGUGGAGAUCAGAGGCCAAGUUCAAGUGCUAUUCCUCAGAUUCUGUCCACCUCUUUUGGAGAUAGUCACUCACUGACCUGACGUUGGCCAAUCGUCCAAGCCAACUGGCCAGCAAGCCUCCUCCAAAUCCUCCUGAUUCUGCAACCGGAGCUCUGAGAUAGCAUGGCCGUGCCACCAGACCCAGCCUCUUUGCAAGAGUUUUAGCAGUCAAAUGUGAGUUCUCCUGCUUCCAUGGCAAGCCUCAAAAACCCCGAGCUAAGUGACCCAACCCUACUGGAAUAUUUUAAUGAAACAAUUUAAUAUUUAAAUAGAGGAUAUGAGACUAACCAUUUAACAUGUCUUUCUUAUCUUUUAAAAACUUAGAUAGCUACUUUGUCUCUGAAUUGGAACCUGGAUUUUAAGUUCAUGAUUGCUUUGGCAAUUCACCUAUAGCAGUGGUUCUAACAUUCCUAACGCUGUGACCCUUUAAUACACUUCCUCAUGUUGAGGUGACCUCUAGCUAUAAAAUUAUUUUUAUUGCUACUCCAUGACUGUAAUCUUGCUACUGUUACAAAUCAUAAUGUAAAUAUCUGCAAUUUCCAAUGGUCUUAGGAGACCCCUGUGAAAGGAUCACUAAACCCCCAAAGGUUGCCCAUCCAUAGAUUGGGAUCCACUGACCUAUAGUGUUGCAGGAUUUUCCCUGACAAAUCACAUUAGGGCAGUGGAAGGCUUGUGAUUGGACAGGAGAAAGGAGGUAGAGUGAGAAGUUGAGGAGACAGAGAGAGAGGUCUGAGGAGGAGAGGGAGAACCAGAAUGGAGGCUGUUGUGUUGUUAUCAAAAGGUUAGAAUAUUUGGGUUAAAGCUUUAUCAUCAUUCGGCUCUAAAUUAUUGCAUUGGCAUCUUGUAAAUUGUGUUAUUAUUGAUAUAUACAUCUGAUUAUCUAAUUGAGCAUUUAGAGUCUUGAUUCUUCCAGGUAAUAAGGUGUUGAGAUGACUAACCAGGGGUGUGUGGAACAUUGUGUGAAGGCGAGAGAAACUCGGGGGGCCCCCAUCUGAAAGAUGGCCCAGUGGGAGCCAUGUGGUCUCACAGGGCAGGUGAGUUGGCCGGGCCAAGAGACUGAGCGAUUGAGAUCACCUGAUGCAGGGGCUAGCUCUAGAUAUUUCUUGAAAUUUCUAGAUAUUUCUGCAUUUUUCCAAUGGUCUUAGAAGACCCUUGUGAAAGGAUUCCUAAGCCCCCAAAGGUUUGCUACCCAUAGAUUGGGAUCCACUGACCUAUAGGAUUACUUUUGUUGGGACACAUAAAAAUUUGCAUCAGUGCCUAGCAAUUGGAUGUUUAUGGAGUAUGGUAUGGUGAUAUGUGCAUAUUGUGUGUGCCAGCUAGCAGCUCUUAAAUCUAGAAAUCAAAGGAAAUGAGACUAUGAAUGUAAUCUAGUUACAUUUUAAAGAUCUCGAACUCAUUCAGUGAAAGACUCAGGAAGCGUGGUUGCGAAUUAAUUGGGCAGAAUUUUACAAAGAGCCCCUUGCUGUGACUCAUACCUGUUCACUGUACACAACAAAUUUGUUGGGACCCAAAAUUAGAGACCUGGAAUUAUUACAUGAGGCUGAGUGUAUGUUAUAGUAAAGCUGUCAGAUGCUUGAUGUCCUCUAUGUCAGCCUGUCUUUGCUUUAUAAUGAGCCCCUCAUCAAUGGCUCCUAUUUCUUUCCAUCUGUAAUGUGUGGGGACAGGCACUAGUAUGAAUAGGCAUAUGUGCAUGUAGCUAUGUGUACACUUAUGUGUCUAUGCAUGUCACCUCCUUAGCUGACAUUCCUUGGCUGCUGUCCAUCAACUAUUUUGAGACAGGUCUCAAAUUGACUGGAGCGUGGUAUGUAGGUAAGUAGGCUGAGCUAGUUUGCCACCAAGCCCCAGGGAUCCACCUGCCUUUGCCUUCCCGUUGUAUCCUAUGGAAGAGUCAAUGAAAUUUGUUCUCUGCAAGAAAAAGCCUUGCUACUCCAGAGUGUCUAUUUCUGGGAUGUUUCUUAGCUCCAGGUAAGGCUUCUGUCUACAGGAAAUCCCUUCUGACCAGACUUUAUCUUCCAUCCUCAGUUCAUUAAAAUACACGCAAUUCCUCCUUACUUCCUUGUUAUACUGCUGAUGUUCAUUUUAUUUCUGUUCUGUGGACCUAUGUGGGAAGUUGGUGAAGAACAAUACAAGGAUGGAGAAGCAAAGAGAGAUGUCGUUUUAGUCACCCAGAGCUACAUAAUUCAAAUCAAUCCCAAAUGGUAAAAGGAAGAAACAAGGGCUGAAUGGAAGGACCCAGUAAGUCCUCUUGGAAGAACAAAUGCACAGAAGGGAUAUUUCUAUACAGAAGCAUUCAUAAUCUACCCAGGCAUUCAGACAGGAAAGGAGAAAAGGCUUUGGAUCCCUUCCAGAGUGAUAUGGAUCAUAUUUGACAGGGGAAGACCCUCUAAAGAUCUUGGCUACAGAAAAAAAUUCAAAAUAUUCAAACAGGACAGGAUUCAACACUGGCAAUAUUCGCUGGGCUUGGAGAGCAAGAUUAACAACUAGCAAUCUAUCAUCUUAUAAACUGGCAGUUCCACACAACUGACUCUUUCCCAUUAGCUUCUCCAACACGAGAGGUGCUCCACAGACGGGGAACAAUGCACAUCUCUUGCCAUUGUUAGCAGCUUUUCAUCUUGUUGCAGUGGAGGCUGGGAGAGGCUGAAGAGUUAAUUUUAAUAAGACCAAUCAGCUCAUCUUGACAAUGGAGGGGAAGGAAAGGGGACAGGUAGAUGACUGUAUGUUUUGACAUUGGACCAUUAACAUGCAAAUCACAUGCAAAAUCAUAUGCUAACAACUUUGAGCCUUUGUUUGUGGUUGGACACUUUUCUCCCCCAAACGGACUAAAGCUCUGAUGCAAUUCUACACGGGAAGGCACUUUGUUAGACAUCUCAUGGGCUCAAAGACAAAUAGGAGAUGGUCUCUGAACAGUUGUCCUGACCUGUUUGGGAGAGCCAGGAUGCCUUUUGAUCUCACCUCAUUGCCUGUUCCUUCAAAAGAGAGCGUGAAGUGUGGCAGAGAACAGGAGUCUACAUAAGGCCCAGUGAUUAGGACGAAUGAGAGUGUAGGACAGCCUACACAGACAGCGUCCUUCAUGUCACCCAGAGACUGCUGCAGAGCUCCCAGGGACGAGCCGCAUUAAUUAUGGACUAAUGACGCAUUUGCAUGCACAUUUUUAAAAGCAGUAGUGAACAUAGCCCUAGUAAUUGAGGAUGAGUGAGGUAAGCUGCAUUAAAAUGCUCUGCUGAAUCUCAUCUCAUCCUUUUUUUUUUAAAGACCUCUGUCACCUUGGCACUCAGCAGCAUACAUGGGCAUCCACGCAGUCUGGAGCUUUAUGGUGGCUCUCUAUAGAUCUGGUCACUUUGGCCACCCACUUGAAACUGGUUUCCCUCUCUGCAACCGCUCACAAUCACAAAUGCAAGAUUCUGUAAGGGGUAAAAAUGCAAUAGGCUGACUUUUGGCAUAAGUAGGGAGAUGAUAUGAAACAGAAGGAAUCUUGAUGUUAGGAGAUAAGAAUCACAUAAUGAUACAGCCAUUCACAGUCUAGUACAGUCAAGUAUGAGUCUGAGUGACUCAGAAAUCACAGCCCAAAAGAUCAAUACGGGAAAAGGACUGGUCUCUAUGCAUGGAGCCAAGGAGAUCUCCAAACCACCGUGAUCUCAAAGUACACAGGUGAGCCUCCUCCGAAGAGGGCAUAGGCCCAAGUGAAGCCAUGCAUCCUGGACUCAGGGAUUUGGCCAGCCAUCACGUGGAAGAUAAAUGGCUGUGCAGGAAGUCCUUUCUGCAGAAUACUUUGGUGUUCUAGGCUGAUAAGAAAAUUGAUGUUGUGCGAAUCUUGAUGUGUAUCCUUCCUCUUUGUCUCUCCGCCCUUUCCUCCCCUCUCCCUCCUCUCCCUCUUUUUUCUCUCUUCCUUCCACACUCAUAACUAUGCAUACUCAUAAUUUUGGCAUCAAUGAUGCAUUUGAAGCAAAGGUGAACGUUGGCCCGUAGCCCAUUAGGGCCAUAGCUCUCACCCAGACGUCAUGCUCCUGUAACUCCUUGAAAGCACAACUUUUAAAAAAAUAAAAGCCUUCCUCUUGUGGAAUGAAAUAAAAUAUCAUUUAAGGAAAGGAAACAUAAUUGCUCCUCUGUCUUCCCAUAACAUGGCUGACAUCUCAAAGCCAAUCUCCCAU